rnacentral:rRNA from 1 species
CCGCUGAAUUUAAGCAUAUCAAUAAGCGGAGGAAAAGAAACCAACAGGGAUUCCCUCAGUAACGGCGAGCGAAGAGGGAAGAGCUCAAGCCGAAAAUCUCCGGCGGCAACGUCGGCGAAUUGUAGUUUGGAGAAGUGUCUUCAACGCGUCUUUUUCGGUCCAAGUUGCUUGGAACGGCACGUCACGGAGGGUGAGAAUCCCGUGUGCGAUCGGAGCAGGCGCGCCACGAAGCACUUUCGAAGAGUCGGGUUGUUUGGGAUUGCAGCCCAAAGCGGGUGGUAAACUCCAUCUAAAGCUAAAUACGAGCACGAGACCGAUAGCGAAAAAGUACCAUGAGGGAAAGAUGAAAAGCACUUUGAAAAGAGAGUUAAAGAGUACGUGAAACCGUUGAAGGGGAAACGAAUGCGACCAGCAAAGCACUCGUUGCAGAUUCAGUCGCGUCACGUCGUCGGGAGUCGGCCGGCGGAUCCAAUCGGACCGUCGUCGGUUCGACGGCGGCGAGGCGCGCCGCAAUUCUGUCCCGUGCGAGCCAACGUCGGUUCGUCGACGACGUUCGGCUGUCGCGUCAGGUGUCUCGUGACUUCGGUCGGGAGCGUUAUAGUCGCGAUAGCAAGGGCGUCGAGACGGAGCGAGGAGACGAAAUGUCGGUGGCGAACCGCGCUCGCUUUCGGGUGGGCUAGAGUCGUUCGACGCGCGUCGUGCGUCGCGUUUUGGACUGCGUGCAGUGCUCGAUGCGAUCGUGCGGGCGCGUCGGAUCGUCGUCAUAAGCGGUUCGAGGUCGUUGGCGGUGAAAUGGUCUCAUCCGACCCGUCUUGAAACACGGACCAAGGAGUCUAACAUGUGUGCGAGUCGUGGGGUGACGAAACCCUGUGGCGCAAUGAAAGUGAGUUUGGAGACGAGAAGCGGCGUUUCGACGUCGUUGCAUCGUCGGCCGACCUGUCCUGAUUUCAGAAAGGUUUGAGUAGGAGCACGCCUGUUGGGACCCGAAAGAUGGUGAACUAUGCCUGAAUAGGGUGAAGCCAGAGGAAACUCUGGUGGAGGCUCGUAGCGAUUCUGACGUGCAAAUCGAUCGUCCAAUUUGGGUAUAGGGGCGAAAGACU